rnacentral:lncRNA from 1 species
GGGGAUUUAGCUCAGUUGGUAGAGUGCUUGCCUCACAUGCACAGGCUCUGGGUUCAAUCCCCAGCACCAUUAAAAAAUAAAUGAAUAAAAAUAACAACAAAAAAAACUAAGUUUAAAACAAUAAUGAGGAAGGAGGAAAAACACUCUAAACAGUAAUGGUCAUUUAUUUUUCUCAAGGAUCUGCUAUUUGGGCAGAGACUAGCAGGGAUGGUUCAUCUGAUCCCAGAAGUAUCAGCUGCUGAGAUUCAACUAAACUGGAGGAUCCAACUUCCAGUGGCAGCUCUUGGGUUCUAACCAGCAAAGAGACACCCUCUGGGACACAUGGGCUUCCUGACAGCAUGGAGGCUGGGCUCCAAGAACAAGGUGCAGGCUUCUUCUGACCUAGCUUGGAAGUCCCUUCUGCUGCUUUCUAUUGGCCAAACUAAGGCCAGCCCCAGUUCAAGAAGAAGAGUCAACCUCUCAAAGGGAAGAAGAGCAGAACAUGUGACCAUGUAUCACACAAGGUAAUCCCAGUUGAUUGCCACAUGGCAGCACCAAUGGCACUUGCACCCACAGAAUAUGCUCUUUAACCACACCAGUGCCUCAGGUGGGAAUUAAAGAAUACCUUGUAGCUUUAAUUUGUAUUUCCUUAAUUUCUAAGAAAUUGGACACUUUUUCAAGUGAUUAUUGGUUGUUCCCAUUUCCCCUUCUGUGAAGUGCUUUGCUCAAGUUUUUUACCCAUUGUAUUAUAGGGUACUCUGUCUCAUUUGUAGAAAUUCUUUGUAUAUUAUCC